GGUUAAGCGACUAAGCGUACACGGUGGAUGCCCUGGCAGUCAGAGGCGAUGAAGGACGUGCUAAUCUGCGAAAAGCGUCGGUAAGGUGAUAUGAACCGUUACAGCCGGCGAUGUCCGAAUGGGGAAACCCAGUGCAAUUCGUUGCACUAUCGUUAACUGAAUACAUAGGUUAACGAGGCGAACCGGGGGAACUGAAACAUCUAAGUACCCCGAGGAAAAGAAAUCAACCGAGAUUCCCCCAGUAGCGGCGAGCGAACGGGGAGCAGCCCAGAGUCUGAAUCAGCUUGUGUGUUAGUGGAACGGUCUGGAAAGUCCGACGGUACAGGGUGAUAGUCCCGUACACCAAAAUGCACAGGCUGUGAACUCGAAGAGUAGGGCGGGACACGUGGUAUCCUGUCUGAAUAUGGGGGGACCAUCCUCCAAGGCUAAAUACUCCUGACUGACCGAUAGUGAACCAGUACCGUGAGGGAAAGGCGAAAAGAACCCCGGCGAGGGGAGUGAAAAAGAACCUGAAACCGUGUACGUACAAGCAGUGGGAGCACCUUCGGGUGUGACUGCGUACCUUUUGUAUAAUGGGUCAGCGACUUAUAUUCUGUAGCAAGGUUAACCGUAUAGGGGAGCCGCAGGGAAACCGAGUCUUAACUGGGCGUUAAGUUGCAGGGUAUAGACCCGAAACCCGGUGAUCUAGCCAUGGGCAGGUUGAAGGUUGGGUAACACUAACUGGAGGACCGAACCGACUAAUGUUGAAAAAUUAGCGGAUGACUUGUGGCUGGGGGUGAAAGGCCAAUCAAACCGGGAGAUAGCUGGUUCUCCCCGAAAGCUAUUUAGGUAGCGCCUCGUGAAUUCAUCUUCGGGGGUAGAGCACUGUUUCGGCUAGGGGGUCAUCCCGACUUACCAACCCGAUGCAAACUACGAAUACCGAAGAAUGUUAUCACGGGAGACACACGGCGGGUGCUAACGUCCGUCGUGAAGAGGGAAACAACCCAGACCGCCAGCUAAGGUCCCAAAGUCAUGGUUAAGUGGGAAACGAUGUGGGAAGGCACAGACAGCCAGGAUGUUGGCUUAGAAGCAGCCAUCAUUUAAAGAAAGCGUAAUAGCUCACUGGUCGAGUCGGCCUGCGCGGAAGAUGUAACGGGGCUAAACCAUGCACCGAAGCUGCGGCAGCGACACUAUGUGUUGUUGGGUAGGGGAGCGUUCUGUAAGCCUGCGAAGGUGACCUGUGAGGGUUGCUGGAGGUAUCAGAAGUGCGAAUGCUGACAUAAGUAACGAUAAAGCGGGUGAAAAGCCCGCUCGCCGGAAGACCAAGGGUUCCUGUCCAACGUUAAUCGGGGCAGGGUGAGUCGACCCCUAAGGCGAGGCCGAAAGGCGUAGUCGAUGGGAAACAGGUUAAUAUUCCUGUACUUGGUGUUACUGCGAAGGGGGGACGGAGAAGGCUAUGUUAGCCGGGCGACGGUUGUCCCGGUUUAAGCAUGUAGGCUGGUUAUCCAGGCAAAUCCGGAUAAUCAAGGCUGAGGUGUGAUGACGAGGCACUACGGUGCUGAAGUAACAAAUGCCCUGCUUCCAGGAAAAGCCUCUAAGCAUCAGGUAACAUCAAAUCGUACCCCAAACCGACACAGGUGGUCAGGUAGAGAAUACCAAGGCGCUUGAGAGAACUCGGGUGAAGGAACUAGGCAAAAUGGUGCCGUAACUUCGGGAGAAGGCACGCUGGUGUGUAGGUGAAGUCCCUGCGGAUGGAGCUGAGACCAGUCGAAGAUACCAGCUGGCUGCAACUGUUUAUUAAAAACACAGCACUGUGCAAACACGAAAGUGGACGUAUACGGUGUGACGCCUGCCCGGUGCCGGAAGGUUAAUUGAUGGGGUUAUCCGUAAGGAGAAGCUCUUGAUCGAAGCCCCGGUAAACGGCGGCCGUAACUAUAACGGUCCUAAGGUAGCGAAAUUCCUUGUCGGGUAAGUUCCGACCUGCACGAAUGGCGUAAUGAUGGCCAGGCUGUCUCCACCCGAGACUCAGUGAAAUUGAACUCGCUGUGAAGAUGCAGUGUACCCGCGGCAAGACGGAAAGACCCCGUGAACCUUUACUAUAGCUUGACACUGAACAUUGAGCCUUGAUGUGUAGGAUAGGUGGGAGGCUUUGAAGCGUGGACGCCAGUCUGCGUGGAGCCGACCUUGAAAUACCACCCUUUAAUGUUUGAUGUUCUAACGUUGGCCCCUGACCGGGGUUGCGGACAGUGUCUGGUGGGUAGUUUGACUGGGGCGGUCUCCUCCCAAAGCGUAACGGAGGAGCACGAAGGUUAGCUAAUCCUGGUCGGACAUCAGGAGGUUAGUGCAAUGGCAUAAGCUAGCUUGACUGCGAGCGUGACGGCGCGAGCAGGUGCGAAAGCAGGUCAUAGUGAUCCGGUGGUUCUGAAUGGAAGGGCCAUCGCUCAACGGAUAAAAGGUACUCCGGGGAUAACAGGCUGAUACCGCCCAAGAGUUCAUAUCGACGGCGGUGUUUGGCACCUCGAUGUCGGCUCAUCACAUCCUGGGGCUGAAGUAGGUCCCAAGGGUAUGGCUGUUCGCCAUUUAAAGUGGUACGCGAGCUGGGUUUAGAACGUCGUGAGACAGUUCGGUCCCUAUCUGCCGUGGGCGCUGGAGAAUUGAGGGGGGCUGCUCCUAGUACGAGAGGACCGGAGUGGACGCAUCACUGGUGUUCGGGUUGUCAUGCCAAUGGCACUGCCCGGUAGCUAAAUGCGGAAGAGAUAAGUGCUGAAAGCAUCUAAGCACGAAACUUGCCCCGAGAUGAGUUCUCCCUGAGACUUUAAGUCUCCUGAAGGAACGUUAAAGACGAUGACGUUGAUAGGCCGGGUGUGUAAGCGCAGCGAUGCGUUGAGCUAACCGGUACUAAUGAACCGUGAGGCUUAACCUU
rnacentral:rRNA from 1 species